UUAAGCGACUAAGCGUACACGGUGGAUGCCCUGGCAGUCAGAGGCGAUGAAGGACGUGCUAAUCUGCGAAAAGCGUCGGUAAGGUGAUAUGAACCGUUAUAACCGGCGAUGUCCGAAUGGGGAAACCCAGUGCAAUUCGUUGCACUAUCGUUAACUGAAUACAUAGGUUAACGAGGCGAACCGGGGGAACUGAAACAUCUAAGUACCCCGAGGAAAAGAAAUCAACCGAGAUUCCCCCAGUAGCGGCGAGCGAACGGGGAGCAGCCCAGAGUCUGAAUCAGCUUGUGUGUUAGUGGAACGGUCUGGAAAGUCCGACGGUACAGGGUGAUAGUCCCGUACACCAAAAUGCACAGGCUGUGAACUCGAAGAGUAGGGCGGGACACGUGGUAUCCUGUCUGAAUAUGGGGGGACCAUCCUCCAAGGCUAAAUACUCCUGACUGACCGAUAGUGAACCAGUACCGUGAGGGAAAGGCGAAAAGAACCCCGGCGAGGGGAGUGAAAAAGAACCUGAAACCGUGUACGUACAAGCAGUGGGAGCACCUUCGGGUGUGACUGCGUACCUUUUGUAUAAUGGGUCAGCGACUUAUAUUCUGUAGCAAGGUUAACCGUAUAGGGGAGCCGCAGGGAAACCGAGUCUUAACUGGGCGUUAAGUUGCAGGGUAUAGACCCGAAACCCGGUGAUCUAGCCAUGGGCAGGUUGAAGGUUGGGUAACACUAACUGGAGGACCGAACCGACUAAUGUUGAAAAAUUAGCGGAUGACUUGUGGCUGGGGGUGAAAGGCCAAUCAAACCGGGAGAUAGCUGGUUCUCCCCGAAAGCUAUUUAGGUAGCGCCUCGUGAAUUCAUCUUCGGGGGUAGAGCACUGUUUCGGCUAGGGGGUCAUCCCGACUUACCAACCCGAUGCAAACUACGAAUACCGAAGAAUGUUAUCACGGGAGACACACGGCGGGUGCUAACGUCCGUCGUGAAGAGGGAAACAACCCAGACCGCCAGCUAAGGUCCCAAAGUCAUGGUUAAGUGGGAAACGAUGUGGGAAGGCACAGACAGCCAGGAUGUUGGCUUAGAAGCAGCCAUCAUUUAAAGAAAGCGUAAUAGCUCACUGGUCGAGUCGGCCUGCGCGGAAGAUGUAACGGGGCUAAACCAUGCACCGAAGCUGCGGCAGCGACACUAUGUGUUGUUGGGUAGGGGAGCGUUCUGUAAGCCUGCGAAGGUGACCUGUGAGGGUUGCUGGAGGUAUCAGAAGUGCGAAUGCUGACAUAAGUAACGAUAAAGCGGGUGAAAAGCCCGCUCGCCGGAAGACCAAGGGUUCCUGUCCAACGUUAAUCGGGGCAGGGUGAGUCGACCCCUAAGGCGAGGCCGAAAGGCGUAGUCGAUGGGAAACAGGUUAAUAUUCCUGUACUUGGUGUUACUGCGAAGGGGGGACGGAGAAGGCUAUGUUAGCCGGGCGACGGUUGUCCCGGUUUAAGCAUGUAGGCUGGUUAUCCAGGCAAAUCCGGAUAAUCAAGGCUGAGGUGUGAUGACGAGGCACUACGGUGCUGAAGUAACAAAUGCCCUGCUUCCAGGAAAAGCCUCUAAGCAUCAGGUAACAUUAAAUCGUACCCCAAACCGACACAGGUGGUCAGGUAGAGAAUACCAAGGCGCUUGAGAGAACUCGGGUGAAGGAACUAGGCAAAAUGGUGCCGUAACUUCGGGAGAAGGCACGCUGGUGUGUAGGUGAAGUCCCUGCGGAUGGAGCUGAGACCAGUCGAAGAUACCAGCUGGCUGCAACUGUUUAUUAAAAACACAGCACUGUGCAAACACGAAAGUGGACGUAUACGGUGUGACGCCUGCCCGGUGCCGGAAGGUUAAUUGAUGGGGUUAUCCGUAAGGAGAAGCUCUUGAUCGAAGCCCCGGUAAACGGCGGCCGUAACUAUAACGGUCCUAAGGUAGCGAAAUUCCUUGUCGGGUAAGUUCCGACCUGCACGAAUGGCGUAAUGAUGGCCAGGCUGUCUCCACCCGAGACUCAGUGAAAUUGAACUCGCUGUGAAGAUGCAGUGUACCCGCGGCAAGACGGAAAGACCCCGUGAACCUUUACUAUAGCUUGACACUGAACAUUGAGCCUUGAUGUGUAGGAUAGGUGGGAGGCUUUGAAGCGUGGACGCCAGUCUGCGUGGAGCCAACCUUGAAAUACCACCCUUUAAUGUUUGAUGUUCUAACGUUGGCCCCUUAUCGGGGUUGCGGACAGUGUCUGGUGGGUAGUUUGACUGGGGCGGUCUCCUCCCAAAGCGUAACGGAGGAGCACGAAGGUUAGCUAAUCCUGGUCGGACAUCAGGAGGUUAGUGCAAUGGCAUAAGCUAGCUUGACUGCGAGCGUGACGGCGCGAGCAGGUGCGAAAGCAGGUCAUAGUGAUCCGGUGGUUCUGAAUGGAAGGGCCAUCGCUCAACGGAUAAAAGGUACUCCGGGGAUAACAGGCUGAUACCGCCCAAGAGUUCAUAUCGACGGCGGUGUUUGGCACCUCGAUGUCGGCUCAUCACAUCCUGGGGCUGAAGUAGGUCCCAAGGGUAUGGCUGUUCGCCAUUUAAAGUGGUACGCGAGCUGGGUUUAGAACGUCGUGAGACAGUUCGGUCCCUAUCUGCCGUGGGCGCUGGAGAAUUGAGGGGGGCUGCUCCUAGUACGAGAGGACCGGAGUGGACGCAUCACUGGUGUUCGGGUUGUCAUGCCAAUGGCACUGCCCGGUAGCUAAAUGCGGAAGAGAUAAGUGCUGAAAGCAUCUAAGCACGAAACUUGCCCCGAGAUGAGUUCUCCCUGAGACUUUAAGUCUCCUGAAGGAACGUUGAAGACGACGACGUUGAUAGGCCGGGUGUGUAAGCGCAGCGAUGCGUUGAGCUAACCGGUACUAAUGAACCGUGAGGCUUAACCUU
rnacentral:rRNA from 3 species